CUGGCGGCAGGCCUAACACAUGCAAGUCGAACGGGAUCUUCGGAUCUAGUGGCGGACGGGUUAGUAACGCGUGGGAACGUACCCUUUUCUACGGAAUAGCCUCGGGAAACUGAGAGUAAUACCGUAUACGCCCUUCGGGGGAAAGAUUUAUCGGAGAAGGAUCGGCCCGCGUAAGAUUAGAUAGUUGGUGGGGUAAUGGCCUACCAAGUCUACGAUCCUUAGCUGGUUUGAGAGGAUGAUCAGCAACACUGGGACUGAGACACGGCCCAGACUCCUACGGGAGGCAGCAGUGGGGAAUCUUAGACAAUGGGGGAGACCCUGAUCUAGCCAUGCCGCGUGAGUGACGAAGGCCUUAGGUCGUAAAGCUCUUUCGCUGGGGAAGAUAAUGACUGUACCCAGUAAAGAAACCCCGGCUAACUCCGUGCCAGCAGCCGCGGUAAUACGGAGGGGGUUAGCGUUGUUCGGAAUUACUGGGCGUAAAGCGCGCGUAGGCGGACUGGAAAGUUGGGGGUGAAAUCCCGGGGCUAACCCCGGAC
rnacentral:rRNA from 1 species